rfam:Sorghum bicolor cultivar BTx623 chromosome 1, whole genome shotgun sequence.
GUUGUCGAAUUUACUUCAAUUUAUGUGUGUUGGUGUGGAUUGGGGUGAAAUUUACUUCAAAUUCCAUUCUAAUCCACCUCAACACAUAUGGAUUGAUGUGAAUCCGACU